AUUUAUUUAUUGGAAUCAAUGUUAUAUUGUGUCGUGUUUAUCAAAAUAAAAAUAAUAAAAAAUAGAUUCCAGUAAAU